UACGUAGGUGGCAAGCGUUAUCCGGAUUUACUGGGUGUAAAGGGCGUGUAGGCAGGAAAGCAAGUCAGAUGUGAAAACCACGGGCUCAACCUGUGGCCUGCAUUUGAAACUGUUUUUCUUGAGUACUGGAGAGGCAGACGGAAUUCCUCGUGUAGCGGUGAAAUGCGUAGAUAUGAGGAGGAACACCAGUGGCGAAGGCGGUCUGCUGGACAGCAACUGACGCUGAGGCGCGAAAGCGUGGGGAGCAAACAGG
rnacentral:rRNA from 1 species